UUCCUACCUUGGGCUCCCUGAUGAACUGUGACCCAGGAGAUGUAAGAGAAAUAAACUGUUUCCUCCCCAAGUUAGUAGUGGUUACAGUGUUUUGUCACAGCAAUGUAGAAACAAACUAGAACAGGGUUAUAUCAUCCCUGACCCCUCCCUGCCACAUUCUCUGCUCUGUGGUUGGUGUUGUGUUUGAAGCACAUGCUGUACAUUACGAUAGCUAUACCAGAGCCCUCUUGCCACCGCCAAGCCUUUAGUACCAGGAUGGGUGUACCCUCUCAAACCGAGCCAAAAUAAACCUCCUGUCCUGUGAUGGUUCAUAUCAACUUGAUAGGCUCUAGAAUCACCUAAGAGAGACAAACCUCUGGGCAUGACUAUGAGGGUUUUUCUAGAUUGGGUUAUCUUGAGGAGGGAAAACCUACCCUUAAUGUUGGUGGCACCAUUCCAUGGGCUGGGGUCCUGAACUGAAUAAAAAAAAAGAUGAAGAGAGAUAAAGAAUGCAGUACCAGCAUUCAUCUCUCUGUUUCCUGACUUCAGAUGCAGCGUGAACAGCUGCCUUUCACUUCUGUUGCCAUGACUUCCCCAGCAUGAUGGACUGUACCCUGGAACUAAUCAUCCUUCAGGACAAUGUUUUCAAAGUUUGAUACAAGAACCUGCAUAAAGAUCAUGCCCCAGAUGCACUCAGUCAAACCCCUGGAGGAGGGGCCCAUGAGAAACGCUGUGAAUGAAUUCUCUGAGAAAUGCUAUUUUAAGAAAAGAUACUUCAAAUGGAUUCUGAGGUAGAACAGAUGGAUGACCACCUGGCCCCAUGUGACUUGAGCAGUUGGAUUCAUUCCUUUUCUUCAAGUUGAUGCCUCAGCCAAGAAUCUGUGUCGGCAACCAAGAGAGCCAGAGAGGCGGGUCUGGAUCUGGAGUGCUCCUUUGACUGGAUUUAUCACCAGAAUUCUUAUG